rnacentral:rRNA from 1 species
UACAGAGGUCUCAAGCGUUGUUCGGAUUCAUUGGGCGUAAAGGGUGCGUAGGCGGCGCGGUAAGUCGGGUGUGAAAUCUUGGAGCUUAACUCCGAAACUGCAUUCGAUACUGCCGUGCUUGAGGACUGGAGAGGAGACUGGAAUUUACGGUGUAGCGGUGAAAUGCGUAGAUAUCGGCAGGAACACCCAGGGGGAAACCAGUCGACUGGGCAGCUACUGACGCUGAGGUGCGAGAGCGUGGGGAGCGAACCGG